rnacentral:rRNA from 1 species
GACGAACCGUGCGAACGUUGUUCGGAAUCACUGGGCUUAAAGGGCGCGUAGGCGGGCCGCCAAGUCCGCGGUGAAAUCCCCCGGCUCAACCGGGGAACUGCCGCGGAUACUGGAGGUCUCGAGGGGGGUAGGGGCAUGCGGAACUGCGGGUGGAGCGGUGAAAUGCGUUGAUAUCCGCAGGAACCCCGGUGGCGAAAGCGGCUCUCUGGAACGGUACUGACGCUGAGACGCGAAAGCGUGGGGAGCGAACAGG